rnacentral:rRNA from 1 species
AGUAUUGAACUGAAGAGUUUGAUCAUGGCUCAGAUUGAACGCUGGCGGCAGGCCUAACACAUGCAAGUCGAGCGGAUGAGUGGAGCUUGCUCCAUGAUUCAGCGGCGGACGGGUGAGUAAUGCCUAGGAAUCUGCCUGGUAGUGGGGGACAACGUUUCGAAAGGAACGCUAAUACCGCAUACGUCCUACGGGAGAAAGUGGGGGAUCUUCGGACCUCACGCUAUCAGAUGAGCCUAGGUCGGAUUAGCUAGUUGGUGAGGUAAAGGCUCACCAAGGCGACGAUCCGUAAC